GACGCCCGACAGGCACGAGGUGCCCCGACGGCCACGAGACGAACAGGCCUGACGGGAGAAUCUGGGAAGCCGGUGAGAGUCCGGCACAGGCCCGCUGCGGUGACCUGGACGACGUCGAUCGCGAGACCGGCACCGAUCCAGGAAGUCCGAAGACCGGCCUCGCGCCACUUUGUUCG
rnacentral:ncRNA from 2 species